UGCUGCAGUCCAUGUGGUUGCAGAGAGUCGGACACAGUGACUGAACAACAAAAUUUAGGAGAACAUACAGAUGUAGAAAUAUGUGCAAGUAACAUGGCAGUGAAAGCUGCCAUUUACGAAAUAUAUGUAAAUAUCGUAAGAAGCUAGCCUAGCCAUAUUACUAUCACUAUUAGAAAAUAACAUUUUCUUUCCACAUAGGACUUCUCUUUGGUUCCAUUUCAUGUAUGGGGAGGUUUGUUUGUUUGUUUCAAUUAUAGAAUGAAAGUAUUUAAAAACAAACUAUGAGUUGACAAUUUCAACAAAUAGCCACCUAUAAAAGUUUCCUUAGCUCUAAAGUUCUCUUCCUCAGAAACUGCAAAAUCUACAAAUCAUGAAGCUAGAACUGCCCAGUAUCUUUGAAGAGUAUCUACUCGUAGCUCUAAUUGAAACUACCUUCAAUUUUUAAAAUGUCUCACAUGAGGAUUCUAUAGUCUCUGGGAGACUAUAGAGUCUCCCAGUCUCUCAUUAUUUUUUUCUUUUUUUAAAAUGGAAUCCACUUCUUUUUUGGUUUUAAAUUAAUUAAAUUUAAAUUCCUUCUCAUAUAUUUUGGUUUCUGUACUUGCAAUAGUUAUCCUUCAGGUUUUCAUUAAGCACUAAUUCUUCUAUGUAAACAUUAGGAAAUGUCAGUUAUACAUUCUCCUUUUUUUCUCUUCAGCUGGUAAGACUUGGAUUCUAGAAGAUAUCCAGAAUUCCUUCUGAAGUGAGGGAUAAUACUCAGUAAAUUUAUUCGUGCUUCUGGUUCCUGCGUGUUUGUGGAGAACAUCAGUUCUACUCACCACACUCUUAAUUUUGUUCUGUAGACUCUGGUCCUCCCUGCUCUCAGGGCUUGGUGAGAAUAGUCAUGUCUCCACCCCCAUGCUGUGGGGUGACACAUGUGACCUUGGUCUAGGUCAUCUAGUAUAUCCUACUCCCCUGGUCACAGUGAUCCUUUCUAGAUCUGCUAGAAAAUUUGGUCCUGGAUUUGAACCUCGGGGUAAGUAGCAGCUUGCAUCUGUAUUGGGUACAGGAGGUGAGAGCUUGUCCAAGAAUGAAGCCCAUAUGGAAGAUGCUGAGCUGAGAAAUGGAGAGAGAGAAAGCAAGUCCUAGGUCAUAUUGUUUGAGACCUGGAUCAAGCUUCACCUGCACCAGAUACUCUAAAUUAUCCAGUUACAUGGGUCAAUAAAUUUACCUUUUGAUUCAGCUACUUUGGGUUAUGUUUUUUCAACUUUGGCGAGCAAAGGAUUUUUGAUUAAUGUAACAUCUUCAAACAAAAUUUGGCAAAUUAAACUCAUGUUGUGCCCAUGGUUUGCCAAAUUUUGUGAUUUCCCCAGCUAAUUCCCAGACUCCUUUCUUCUCACAUCUAGAGUGACUUUAGCCUUGCAGCAAACCCAUCUAAACACCAAACCUGAGUCUUCUUUCCCUCCCCUGAAAGACUCCUCCAGUUCUAUGCUUAAACCCAGCUCACUGGGGAAGUUAAAGAAGGAAGGGAACAGAUGGCAACCUGAUUCAUAUUCCUCUUAUAGGAAUUAAGCCAAUUGCUUUUAGGGGUCAGUUCCAGUUCAGUUUCAGCAGUGAAUGAGAGUUGUUUGAAUCCAUUUCUUCUUUAGGCCUGUAAUCAUCUGCAGUAAUCCAAAGUCCUUCACUGGGGAAAAUAUUUGAGGGAGUUAAAAUUUUGUUCCAGUUUGAGGGAACCAUGUAAUGUAGAAUCAAGUUGCACCUGUCUUCUUAGGCCUUUUGUGCUAAUAGGGGCAGUAUAUGGGCAGGAUAGGGAGGUGAUUACUAAUAUACUUAAUACAAAAAUAAUCAGCCUAGACUGCAUCCAUAAUAAGCUGUGUCAUAAAAUCUACUCUUUGGGUUUGCUUUUAAUAAUUCUAAUCCACAUGAGAGUAGACUUUGAAACAUCAGACUGUAUCCACCAAAUGACUAAAAGAUAGGUUAAGACAAACUUUUAAAAUUUUUGCCUCUUUUAGAGGAGCAGGUGCCUUAUAGUGAAACACUUAUGGCCUGUUUUUGAAAAUUAUUUCUAAUUAAAGUGAUAGACUUAGUGAACAAUUUGGGGACAUGAUUAUCCUCUAAAAAGUAAAAAUCUAGGUUCAGAAUAUCAACUGGACCUUGGUAUAUAUAUAAUAUAAGCAAUACUAUAUUAAUAAUAUAUAAUAUAAAAAUGUUAUAUAUAAUAUAAAUAAUUACAAGGCACUUAAAGAAUGCUCAGCUUGUUCCAGGAUAUUUUUUUGUUAGUGGGUGGUGUACAAACAAGAGAUAGAAUGACAGAUGCCAUCUAUAUGUUUUACAAAAACACCUCUUGCUUGUGCAUGUGUAAGCAGAGUCAGGUUUGACAAAAUGUAAAAAGAUGUCUUUACAGAUGGCGCAUGUGAGGAGGACAGGUCUUCUCAAGCUGAUAAGGCUGUAAACGCAAUUGUCAUGAGUAUGUGCAAGUCUGCCACACCUGUUCUUCAAGGAAAUUCCCACUGAUGAGAAGACAGAAGUCCAAAAUAUGGAAGAGAGAUGACCACAGUCACAAAUCCGGUGAGUAGCAGACCCCGGCCAUACUCUAAUCUCAUGCCCUUUCGCCAAAUUACUAGGAUCAAGUUUUUGACUCAAGUUAAAAUAGCAUGUUUUCAAAAUAUUAGAUCCCUCAAACAACUCUGUAGGGAAAUGGAAAGGACUCAAUGCCAGACAUAAAUAAUAAACAUGCAGGUUUAGUUUCCUGGAGUUUAAUGGAUUUCAUUUGCUCAAUUAAGUUCACAGAGGACUUCCACUAAAGUUCAUCUAGUUACUCUUGUGAGUUCCUAUUUUACCUACCAAAAAAAAGUUUUUACCAAAAUGUUUUUUCUUCUGUGAAAUCACACCUCAUAAACCUUUAUGUCAUAUCUAGAAAAUUCAAAAGCUUUCCAGUUAGAUGUUGCAACUAAGAAUGUUUUCCUCCCAGUAAUAAAUUAUAAUUUACCUCUACCUGAGUUUUGAAACAUUUUUUCUCAAGCCAAAUUCCUGUAAAUGUCCACAGAGUAAAUCACUCAGGGUUUCUAGGACGAGAAAGAAAAUAGUUUAAAGUCAAAUAAUGUAUUAUCUUGUGACUGAUCCACAGGCAUAAAUUUCAAAGAACCCUAUUUUUGAAAGCAUAAGCAACGUUAUUGCUAAUCCACUUUAGAGAAAUUUCUAGCUAUGUAAUACUACUAUUUCUACUUUUAAAUGAAGAGAAAUUCAGUUGCUUCCAUUUCUUUAAAGUUGGAGACUUAAAAAUUAUGGCAUUCUUGAAGCGGAACACUGUGAGUUAUAUCAAAAAAGGUACUGGCGUUCACAAACACUGACAGGCAGAUGGAUUUCCAACAAGUGGAAACACAGAGCUACACUGGCAAAAGGAGCAGCCAGCAAGCAUUUUAAUCGUGAUUUGGCUCAUCUCUGCUGGUUCUGACUCCACAGUUCAUCUUUAGGAAGCACCUUCUACCAAAUGGAAAGCUGGCAAGAAGUAGUGCUUGAGAUUGCUGACACUGAAACAACCAGAGCUUACUUAAAAUUAAAAAAACAUUUCCCCCUAUUAUUUGUUUGGAUAUGUCUCAAAGAACCCCAAACAGAAAGGCAAUAUUUAAAUUUUGUCCAAAACAUUCUUGCAAUUCUAAUACCCUACCUACUCUGUGUCCAGGAUUGGUGGAAAUACACUAAGCAUUUUUGAAAAGAUUAUCUAACCCAAGUAGAGGAAUGUUAUCUUUCUAUGAAUGAGCAAAUUUAGAUAUGGGAGUGAUGAAAAAGAGAAACUGAGAGAGACAAAGGGGAUGACUGGGAGUGUACUUCACUAGAAAAAAGUAAUUGGGAGAAAUUGGGUGGAGUUGGAGAAUUUGGGUAGAAAAGUUUUCAGAGAGGGGAGGUUUAAAUCAUUUGACUAGGCAAUAACUCCAUCUGGCUAAUAAUGGGCAUCUGUAAAGAAGGAGCCAAGGGUGAUAGAAAGGAAUGACUAUGGUGGUACCAUUUGGUGGUAAUCUGACUGCAGAGAGACAGCGAAUGCAGAGAUGGGAACAAGGUAACAAAAGAAAAGGAAGUGCCCAAGAUGCCAUAAGAACCUAGACUGCAGGGUUUUUUUCUUCUUCAGUCAAAUCUAGUUUUUCUCUUCCCUUUCCACCAUCUCUACACCUCUGCCCCACGCUGCAAGAAAAAUCUGUGUUCACAGACCCAAGUUUGUUUAGCUUAGUCCUCCUUCACCACUGAAUGAUUUGUGGAGACAGACUGGUAACCCCUUUUUAGCAAGGACUUCAGCAUUAAUCAAUCAGAAUUAGAAUGAUAUAACUUUAUUCCCAGUCAACCCAAUUACACCCACAGACCUCUUUGAGCUACAGCGCAGUAAUGUGGUGUCUUGGCGAUUCUGCCGCUGAUUAAUGGACUGGACAGAGAAGUGUUGGAAGGGCCAGUGCAACUCCUGCAAUAGUCCACUGCUUUUCUGCCAGAUCGGCUUUAAAAAAAAAAAAAAAGCUGAUCAUAUCAAACCAUGUUAGCCAAUACCUGUAUUGUUUGCCUGAACUAUAAAGCACAACAGUACAUCUUGUUCUUUUGCAGUUCGUUAUUAGAAGAAAAUAUAAAGAAGAAUUAGACCAUGCCUAUAAUAUUCAAGAUAGCUAGACAAGCGUGCAUACUCCUACACUGCCCAUUGGAACAUGUCAUUUGCACACUGAUAUGGUAAUGAUUAUUCUCAAAGUUAGAUGCAGUAUCACUCCCUCUUCCUCUCCCUGCCAAGAUUCAGUGUCUCUCAGAGGCAGUGGGACAAGGACACGGUCUUGCCAGCUGAUGCUAAGGAGGACCAAAGACUCAAGGACCAGCUGUGCAUAUAGCUCAUUCACCUGCCUCUCACAAAUCACCCAGUCCACACACAUCAUCGCCACAGGAGGAAUCAGGUUCUCCAAGGUCAUCCUAAGGAUGACUGUGGAGGGUAGCUGGACCCAUGGGAUUUUGCCUUGUUUUCUCCACAGAUACCUUUACAAUGGCUUGUGGGGGCCUGUGCACUCUCAAGAAACUGAUUCCUCCUGUGUGAAAAUGUAGAGAGCCUGGAUGAAUGGAACAUAUCCUGACUGAUCUCUGAAUACCUCAUCCUGGAGGGAGUUGUUCUUGCUCUCACAAAUAAUUCAGCGCUCAGUUGAUCAACACAUUUAAAGGAAGUUUCCAAACAUGUCUGAAACUCUAGAUGCAGAGGCUUUAGUGCCAAUUAACAAAGGCAGUUUAGAACAGAACAGAACAGAGGUAGGAAAUCAGGAAAGUGAAGAAGCAGUGUGAUAGAGUAGAGACAGCCAGCUCUGUCAGCAACUAGCUGUAUGCCUUUGGUGAUUAUGCCCGCACCUCAGUUUUCCCAGCUCUAAAACGAAAGAAACUUGGUGAGAAAAGCGCGUUUCUGGUGUCUCUCUGUAUGUUCUCCCUUACACUGAAUUCACUGAGGGUAUACGGCUGCCAGCCCUCCUCGUCAUGCUUUUCCCUCACCAGCCCUUUCUGGCCUCCACGUUUUUUCACUAGGGAUAUUUUAUUGAGAAAGACUGGUGGCACCUGGCGAAAUAUCAUAUGCUGUCUCCCAGAUUCCUGAAUAAUUUCUUCUAGAUUGGAAGGGAGUAUCUUUCAUUUCCAAAUACCUGUAUCUAACGUCAGCCUUGCCCUGAGGAGAAACACCACACAGCUGGAGGGGCGAAUCUUUACUUAGCUUCUCUGAGGCCGUGUGCUAAUAAAACAAGCAAACAAACUAAAACUUAACAGAUCUCUUA